UACGUAGGGCGCAAGCGUUGUCCGGAAUUAUUGGGCGUAAAGAGCUCGUAGGCGGUCUGUCGCGUCGGCUGUGAAAACCCGGGGCUCAACCCCGGGCCUGCAGUCGAUACGGGCAGACUAGAGUGCGGUAGGGGAGACUGGAAUUCCUGGUGUAGCGGUGGAAUGCGCAGAUAUCAGGAGGAACACCGGUGGCGAAGGCGGGUCUCUGGGCCGACACUGACGCUGAGGAGCGAAAGCCAGGGGAGCAAACGGG
rnacentral:rRNA from 1 species